CGGAGGAUCCAAGCGUUAUCCGGAAUCAUUGGGUUUAAAGGGUCCGUAGGCGGUUUAAUAAGUCAGUGGUGAAAGCCUAUCGCUUAACGAUAGAACGGCCAUUGAUACUGUUAGACUUGAAUUAGUGGGAAGUAACUAGAAUAUGUAGUGUAGCGGUGAAAUGCUUAGAUAUUACAUGGAAUACCAAUUGCGAAGGCAGGUUACUAUCACUAUAUUGACGCUGAUGGACGAAAGCGUGGGGAGCGAACAGGAUUAGAUACCCUGGUAGUCACGCCGUAAACGAUGGAUACUAGCUGUUCGGAGCAAUCUGAGUGGCUAAGCGAAAGUGAUAAGUAUCCCACCUGGGGAGUACGUUCGCAAGAAUG
rnacentral:rRNA from 1 species